rnacentral:rRNA from 1 species
UACAGAGGGGGCAAGCGUUGUUCGGAAUUACUGGGCGUAAAGGGCGCGUAGGCGGCCCGCUAAGUCGAACGUGAAAUCCCCGAGCUCAACUCGGGAACUGCGUCCGAUACUGGCGGGCUUGAAUCCGGGAGAGGGAUGCGGAAUUCCAGGUGUAGCGGUGAAAUGCGUAGAUAUCAGGAGGAACACCGGUGGCGAAGGCGGGUCUCUGGGCAGUAACUGACGCUGAGGAGCGAAAGCGUGGGGAGCGAACAGG